rnacentral:tRNA from 1 species
GUCCCCUUCGUCUAGAGGCCCAAGGACACCGCCCUUUCACGGCGGUAACAGGGGUUCGAAUCCCCUAGGGGACGCCA